rnacentral:lncRNA from 1 species
AUAUAUACAGUGAAAACAGCAUGAAUAAUGGAACCUUUAAUCCUUAUUUCUCAAAAUUAGAUUCUACUUUAUCCUUCUCCCCUUUCCUCUCUUAAAAAAAAAAAAAAAAUCUCAGUGCUUAGCAGAAUAGAUGUUGUCCAAACCUUAGCUCUAAGCAGAUUCUGUGGUAUUUCCAUUCCAGGACCAGGUCCCAUUGCAGAUCCGAUUUCUGGGUGGAUUGAUUGCAUUUCUUCCCCUGGUCACUUCACACGUGACUCGGGAGAAAUUAACAUCAUCCCUGUCACAGCGGAAGAGAUGAAUGCAUUGACAAAGAAGACAGAAUAGGAAAAU